rnacentral:rRNA from 1 species
GAUGAACGCUGGCGGCGUGCCUAAUACAUGCAAGUCGGGCGAACGGACGAGAAGCUUGCUUCUCUGAUGUUAGCGGCGGACGGGUGAGUAACACGUGGAUAACCUACCUAUAAGACUGGGAUAACUUCGGGAAACCGGAGCUAAUACCGGAUAAUAUUUUGAACCGCAUGGUUCAAAAGUGAAAGACGGUCUUGCUGUCACUUAUAGAUGGAUCCGCGCUGCAUUAGCUAGUUGGUAAGGUAACGGCUUACCAAGGCAACGAUGCAUAGCCGACCUGAGAGGGUGAUCGGCCACACUGGAACUGAGACACGGUCCAGACUCCUACGGGAGGCAGCAGUAGGGAAUCUUCCGCAAUGGGCGAAAGCCCGACGGAGCAACGCCGCGUGAGUGAUGAAGGUCUUCGGAUCGUAAAACUCUGUUAUUAGGGAAGAACAUAUGUGUAAGUAACUGUGCACAUCUUGACGGUACCUAAUCAGAAAGCCACGGCUAACUACGUG